rnacentral:rRNA from 1 species
GACGAACGCUGGCGGCGUGCUUAACACAUGCAAGUCGAACGGUGAAGGGACCAGCUUGCUGGUUCUGGAUGAGUGGCGAACGGGUGAGUAACACGUGAGUAACCUGCCCCCUUCUUCUGGAUAACCGCAUGAAAGUGUGGCUAAUACGGGAUAUUCUGGGUCUGUCGCAUGGCGGGCCCGGGAAAGAUAUUGCUUCGGUGGGGGAUGGGCUCGCGGCCUAUCAGCUUGUUGGCGGGGUGAUGGCCUACCAAGGCGGUGACGGGUAGCCGGCCUGAGAGGGGGGACGGUCACACUGGGACUGAGACACGGCCCAGACUCCUACGGGAGGCAGCAGUGGGGAAUAUUGCACAAUGGGCGCAAGCCUGAUGCAGCGACGCCGCGUGAGGGAUGGAGGCCUUCGGGGUGUAAACCUCUUUCGCCAGUGAAGCAGGCCUGCUCCUUGUGGGUGGGUUGACGGUAGCUGGAUAAGAAGCGCCGGCUAACUACGUG